AAGUCGUAACAAGGUUUCCGUAGGUGAACCUGCGGAAGGAUCAUUACCGAGUUAGGGUCUUCCAGGCCCGACCUCCAACCCUUUGUUUACUAUACCAUGUUGCUUUGGCGGGCCCGCCUGAGGCCGCCGGGGGCUUUACUGCCCCUGGUCAGUGCCCGCCAGUGGCCUUACUUAAAUUCUUUAUAAUUGUGUCGUCUGAGUACAAAUAUAAAUCAUUUAAAACUUUCAACAACGGAUCUCUUGGUUCUG
rnacentral:misc_RNA from 1 species